rnacentral:misc_RNA from 1 species
UCCGAGUUAUCCCCGGCAGUCUCCUAUGAGUCCCCGGCCGAACCGCUGGCAACAUAGGACAAGGGUUGCGCUCGUUGCGGGGCUUAACCCAACAUCUCACGACACGAGCUGACGACAGCCAUGCAGCACCUGUGUCCAGGCUCCCUUUCGGGCACCCCUCCAUCUCUGGAGGGUUCCUGGCAUGUCAAGGGUAGGUAAGGUUUUUCGCGUUGCAUCGAAUUAAUCCACAUAAUCCACCGCUUGUGCGGGUCCCCGUCAAUUCCUUUGAGUUUUAACCUUGCGGCCGUACUCCCCAGGCGGUCAACUUCACGCGUUAGCUUCGGCACGGAGAGGGUUGAAGACCUCCCCACACCUAGCACCCAACGUUCACGGCUGGGACUAC